UACAGAGGUCCCAAGCGUUGUUCGGAUUCACUGGGUUUAAAGGGUGCGUAGGUGGGCUGGUAAGUCAGUGGUGAAAUCUCCAGGCUUAACUUGGAAACUGCCAUUGAUACUAUCAGUCUUGAAUACCGUGGAGGUCAGCGGAAUAUGUCAUGUAGCGGUGAAAUGCUUAGAUAUGACAUAGAACAACCAAUUGCGAAGGCGCUGGCUACACGAAUAUUGACACUGGAUGCACGAAAGCGUGGGGAUCAAACAGG
rnacentral:rRNA from 1 species